rnacentral:misc_RNA from 1 species
GAUGAAGAACGCAGCGAAAUGCGAUACGUAAUGUGAAUUGCAGAAUUCAGUGAAUCAUCGAAUCUUUGAACGCAUAUUGCGCUCUCUGGUAUUCCGGAGAGCAUGCUUGUUUGAGUAUCAGUAAACACCUCAACUUCCAUAUCUUUUUUGAAAUUGGAGCUGGACUUGAGUGAUCCAAACGCUUUCUUCCAAGAAAGUGGCGGGUUGCUUGAAAUGCAGGUGCAGCUGAACUUUUCUCUGAGCUAUAAGCAUAUCUAUUUAGUCUGCCUAAAAAACAGAUUAUUACCUUUGCUGCAGCUAACAUAAAGGAGACUAGUUCUUGUGCUGACUGAUGCAGGAUUCACAGAGACAGCUUCGGCUGACUUUGUAAACUCGAUCUCAAAUCAAGUAAGACUACCCGCUGAACUUAAGCAUAUCAAUAAGCGGAGGA